UUUAACGCGAAGAACCUUACCAGGUCUUGACAUCCUCUGACAAUCCUAGAGAUAGGACGUCCCCUUCGGGGGCAGAGUGACAGGUGGUGCAUGGUUGUCGUCAGCUCGUGUCGUGAGAUGUUGGGUUAAGUCCCGCAACGAGCGCAACCCUUGAUUUUAGUUGCCAGCAUUCAGUUGGGCACUCUAAGGUGACUGCCGGUGACAAACCGGAGGAAGGUGGGGAUGACGUCAAAUCAUCAUGCCCCUUAUGACCUGGGCUACACACGUGCUACAAUGGACAGAACAAAGGGCAGCGAAACCGCGAGGGUAAGCCAAUCCCACAAAUCUGUUCUCAGUUCGGAUCGCAGUCUGCAACUCGACUGCGGAAUUCUGGAAUCGCUAGUAAUGGCCCAUGCCGCUGUCUGUUCCCCCCCCU
rnacentral:rRNA from 1 species